GCUACAUGAGGUAGAGAUAGACUGCUUCUACGCGCCUGCUUUGCAGGUCAAAAGAGAUGCGGGAUCCGGCGCAGGCCCGCCAUGUACA
rnacentral:ncRNA from 12 species